AUCCUCUGGUUCCUAAUAAGGUUUACUUCUGUAUUAAGUCAUCCGAAGAUCCAGCACAAAGGUACACAUGAAGAACUUCCUUCAUUUUGUUUACUAGAUGUAUUCCAGAUCCUAACUUCCUGCAGA